rfam:Gorilla gorilla gorilla genomic chromosome, chr8, whole genome shotgun sequence
GCCAGCCAUGGUGGCACGCACCUGUAGUCCCAGCUGCUCAGGAGGCUGAGGUGGGAGGAUGGCUUGAGCCCAGGAGUCGGAGGUUGCAGUGAGCCGAGAUGGCACCACUGCACUCCAGACUGGGUGACAGAGCAAGACUCUGCCUCAAAAAAAAAAAAAAAAANNNNNNNNNNUUUUUUUUUUUUUUUUUUUUUUGAGGCAGAGUCUUGCUCUGUCACCCAGUCUGGAGUGCAGUGGUGCCAUCUCGGCUCACUGCAACCUCCGACUCCUGGGCUCAAGCCAUCCUCCCACCUCAG